rnacentral:rRNA from 1 species
UGCCAGCAGCCGCGGUAAGACGGGGGGUCCAAGCGUUAUUCGGAUUCACUGGGUUUAAAGGGUACGUAGGCGGCUAAGUAAGUCAAUGGUGAAAGCUAGCAGCUCAACUGUUAAGGUGCCAUUGAUACUGCUUGGCUUGAGUAUAGUCGGAGUAGGCGGAAUUGUUUGUGUAACGGUGAAAUGUUUAGAUAUAAACAGGAACUCCAUUCGCGAAGGCGGUUUACUAGGCUAUUACUGACGCUGAGGUACGAAAGCGUGGGGAGCAAACAGGAUUAGAGA